ensembl:ncRNA lncRNA:CR45810 long non-coding RNA:CR45810
AUUCAUACGAAAUUACCUGCGGCCAAGAGCUUAAUGCCAGUUGGACUGCAAAAUCCGCUUAGGAAGUUGAUACAAUCAGUUCCUCUCUGGCCAGAGAUGCAACCACUCCGAGCCUCCACAACCCACAUCCUGCUCCUCCAUUUCCCACUGCAUCCUGUGGCCUGCAUGUGGGGCGAGGAUGAGGACGAGAACGAGGAUGGGAAAGUGAAUGUGGAUCUGGCUGUGCAUGUGGAUGCAGAUGGAUUCAUUAAAACGAAUUGCUGCGAGUUUAAAGGCCUGCCCUGCAACGAUGCAGACGGAAAAUAAGAACGUUUCUUAUUGCAUUCUCAAAAAUAUAUACGUUC